UUUCCUCUGGAAGGAGGUAAGCUCUGGCUGUGCUUUUUUGCUAUUUUUGUUCAUUGCUGCAUCUUCAGUGCCUAGAGUGGGUUCUGGCACGCACUGGGCACCUCAGUAAAAGUAACUGAAUUAAUUAAAAAGACAUUGAUUCCACAAAAAAAAAAUUUUUUUUGUGGAGUCCUACAGAAAAGGCUGUUAGUAAAACCUAUCAGACUCCCCCAUCUCGAAAAAAGAAAUAGGUCUCUGUACUAAGUGACAUGAAAUACUUCUCAUAGUGAAGGUUAGGUCUCUUCAGUUAUACUCUCCUUCUUUAGCACAGCUAUCCUCUCCCAAAGCAGAGAUAAAUUAAACUUCUUUCUUGGAUGGACUUAAGGUAUGUGAUAAAGGGGAUUCCAGAAACCUCUAAGGCAGCCUUCCAAACAUCAGCCCUAGAGCAACAGUAUGUCUGGAAGACACCCAUCCUAAAUAACACCUGUGACCUGCUUAAAACAGCUUAGGAUUUAAAAAUUCUAGUUCAUUCCAUGCUAAAAAGCACUUGACAGAUAUCCUACAGUCAAAGGAAUAAGCUCUCAUGGAGUCAAGAAAAGCACCUCCCUGAACCAGUUGUCAGAGGGCUCUGGAUCAGUCUAAUUAUAGACCGCGUUCUGCGCUUGUGGAGCUGUGGCACCUGACUUGCACGAGUCCUGGAUGCACACACGAGUGUUUCAAGGAUGGAUUUGUCAGCCACAGACUUCUAUUUCAAGCGUUUGCAGGCUGGUCAUAUUUUGUGCCAUCGCGGUGUCACCAUGAAACAAAAGAAGGAACAGCAGCCCAUCGAUUCCGCGCCAUCAGCCCAGUGCACGCAGCCGCUGUUCUGACGCCGGCCGCUGUGAGAUCACCUGACAGGAAGCCGAAGAUGGGGAACAUUACGUGAGUGGGUGGCAGCCACCUGCAUCUCCAAGGGGAGGACCAUUGCUCAGAAUUGGCCGUAGGUAUUUCAGCGGACUGUUGAAGAAUAGGAUGUGACCUAAUAAGAAGAAUAUGCUUUAGGUUGCCUGCCGCGGUAGAAGAACAUCCCCACCAAAAAGAACGUUUUUCGGCUGCUUUGUCUCUCCAGGACCCAGUGGCUUGCUUCCAUCACAGACACCCCGCUAGGGCACGAUUCAUGUUAUAUACUUAGAAGCCUUAUUUUAAAAAUUGGAUUGCAAAGCAGAGUGUAUCUCACAUGAUUCAACAUGGUUUUUCUUUUUUC